rnacentral:rRNA from 1 species
UACGGGGCGCAGCAGGCGCGAAACCUCUGCAAUAGGCGAAAGCCUGACAGGGUUACUCUGAGUGAUUUCCGCUAAGGGGAUCUUUUGGCACCUCUAAAAAUGGUGCAGAAUAAGGGGUGGGCAAGUCUGGUGUCAGCCGCCGCGGUAAUACCAGCACCCCGAGUGGUCGGGACGAUUAUUGGGCCUAAAGCAUCCGUAGCCGGUUAUGCAAGUCUUCCGUUAAAUCCAGCCGCUCAACGGAUGGGCCGCGGAGGAUACUACAGGACUAGGAGGCGGGAGAGGCAAGCGGUACUCAGUGGGUAGGGGUAAAAUCCUUUGAUCCAUUGAAGACCACCAGUGGCGAAGGCGGCUUGCCAGAACGCGCUCGACGGUGAGGGAUGAAAGCUGGGGGAGCAAACCGGAUUAGAUACCCGGGUAGUCCCAGCUGUAAACGAUGCAGACUCGGUGAUGGGCUAGCCUUGUGCCAGCCCAGUGCCGCAGGGAAGCCGUUAAGUCUGC